GGGUCAGUAGGUUGGUCGUGCCACCGGUACGUACUGGUCUCACUGAUUCCUCCUUCCUGAAGAACCGUAAUGCCAUUUAUUUGGUGUUGCGGGGAAACAGGACUGUUACUUUGAAAAAAUUAGAGUGUUUAAAGCAAGCUAACGCUUGAAUACAUUAGCAUGGAGUAAUGAAAUAGGACGAUCGAUCCUAUUUUGUUGGUUUCUAGGAUUGACGUA
rnacentral:rRNA from 1 species